CUGCAGACCCAAUGACUCCAACUGCAUGCACUUGUGACUCUUUGCCUGCAGGCCUUCUCUGACCCGGUCAGAAACCUGGAGCGAUAGUGCCCUGAGAGUAGACCUCAAGCCAAGACUGAUGUGAACUGAAGCAAGAAAGUACCUUCUUUACCACUCAGGCUUUCUGGUAACUGAUUCUCCUGCUCAUAAACGCCUACAGGGAGCAGAGAGAGCAAAAUUUCCCAACAGGUGUUCUGCAGCCUAAGCCAUAAACGGGCUGCAGAUGUGUUAAUAUGCUGUGCUCUGUAAUUGUCUGAGUAGGUCUGGAGGUAGCUAAACCCUGCAGGAUGGUCACUCUACACCAGAAACAGGUUGAAAAAAGUUUGGUAAGUGUGGUCUUAUGCUCACUAUUUUCCCUGCUUGAACUCUUUUUCUCACCCUUUUUCUAAGUUAAAAAAUUAAUAUAUUUUA